rnacentral:tRNA from 1 species
UUCUCAGUAGUCCAGCGGUUAAGACACUAUACUCCCAAUGCAGGGGACACAGGUUCAAUCCCUGGUCAGGGACU